CCCGAUUUCAACUCCCAAAUACCAAACCCUAAAUCCAUCUCUCUUCUACACUUCUUUCUAUAUUCUAUCUGUAUUUAUCUCCAUACCCAACUCCUCUCUAUUUCGACCAAUCGAUCAGUGCUUACAGCAGCGCCAUAUGGAAGAUGGUGCGCAUAGCAGCACGAAGACCUUGCCAACAUCCGAUCACCGUAACUGCGCUUUUCGCUGUCCAUGGACAAUUCACAUAUCUCAAAUAACCGCUUUUAGAUUGUUAUUGUGGCUUCAGGUUUUGUUUGGCUGAAGCAGAAAAAGAAUAAGAUGCACCAAGACUAUCUUUAAUUUGUGUUUUGCAAUUGUAAGUGGUGGUUUGUUUGAGAUGGUGGACAUGGUUUGGAGGCACUGCCAUUACUUAUGAGAGAAAAUUUUGUUGACCCCAAAUAUGUUGCCAACAAAUAUUGGACCCACUCGCGCACAUGUAAGCCUUGUCCAACACGCUAAGACACGUGGACGGUAUAAAAAUAAUAGCAAAACGAGUCGUGGGAGCGACUCAAAGGCGUGGGAUGAGAACGUUCGGAAUCCGACGAGAUAUUUGCAAAACGAUUGUACAAUAAUUACCAAUCGAUAUUUGUAGAAUGUGAG
rnacentral:lncRNA from 1 species